GGGUGUGCACUGAUAUGGGUAGUUGCGAGGCCUAGGCUACUAGGGUUGACCUUGGGAGAAGAGUCUCUCCUCUGUUGCUUUAGGUUCCUAGUAAGGCAGCACAGGUAUCACCGUGGAGACCAAGCCUGCUUCUGUGAUCCAGGUUCAGCUGCCUUCUGCUUCCGCAGAGGGCUCUCUGACAUGACGUCUUGCGCUGAAGCCUCAGAUGCCUGGAGACCAGCGUCAAAGACAUCAGCUCCUUUGUUUUCCAAGGGAAAGAGGAGAGGUGUGGGCGCUGAAGAGCCUAGAGAACCAAACACUACUGAGACCCUGCCAAGGAUGAAGGGACAUACAGACAAUUGGUGACACAUGAGCUCCAGUCACAUUCAGAAGACUCCUCUGAACAGUUUGAACUGACAGCUGCUGUGUACAUCCCCAGCCCCCAGCACAGAAUGCCCUACAAGUCACUGCCCCUGGGGAUUACCACCAUCGGGGUCAUCAGCAAUGCCUGGGUAUAGCCAGCCUCCAUUUCCCCAAUCCAGAUCCAGAGGGAGAGCUACACUUGCACGGAACAGCCCUCCAGUGUGCUAGAGCUGUCUACAUGCAGGUAUCAUGUCAUUUAGAGAUCACUUAAAGUGUGCUAUAGAAUGCAUCUGGGUUCUGUGAAAAUUCAGUGCUGGGGGCUGGAGAGAUGGCUCAGCCGUGAAGAGCACCGACUGCACUUCCAGAGGUCCUGAAUUCAAGUCCCAGCAACCACAUGGUGGCUCACAAACAUCUGUAAUGGAAUCCGAUGUCCUCUUCUAGUGUAUCUGAAGACAGUGACAGUGUACUCACAUACA